rnacentral:rRNA from 1 species
UACGGGGGGGGGCAAGCGUUGUUCGGAAUUACUGGGCGUAAAGGGCUCGUAGGUGGCCAACUAAGUCAGACGUGAAAUCCCUCGGCUUAACCGGGGAACUGCGUCCGAUACUGGUUGGCUUGAGUUUGGGAGAGGGAUGCGGAAUUCCAGGUGUAGCGGUGAAAUGCGUAGAUAUCGGGAGGAACACCAGUGGCGAAGGCGACUACCUGGCCUGUUCUUGACGCUGAGGCGCGAAAGCUAGGGGAGCAAACGGG